rnacentral:sRNA from 1 species
UCCUUUUUCAAAAGGGAAAGACCUUACUGUAUUUCUUUUGUUUAUUAAGGUCUUUCCUUUUUCAAAAGGGA